rnacentral:rRNA from 1 species
UACAGAGGGGUGCGAGCGUUUAAUCGGAAUUACUGGGGCGUAAAAGCGUGCGUAGACGGGUUUAUUUUAAAGUCGGGGUGUGAAAAGCCCCCGGGGCUCAAACCCUGGGGGAAAUUUGCAUUCGAGACUGAAAUAGCUAGGGGGUACGGGUAGAGGGGGAAAGCGGGAAAUUUCCCGGGUGUAGCGGGUGAAAAUGCGUAGAUAUCGGGAAGGGAAACAUCAGUGGGCGAAAAGCGGGCUUUCUUGGGACAGGAUA